rnacentral:rRNA from 1 species
UACGUAGGGGGCAAGCGUUGUCCGGAAUCAUUGGGCGUAAAGAGCGCGUAGGCGGCCCAGUCAGUCCGCUCUGAAAGUCAGGGGCUCAACCCCUGAAUGCGGGUGGAUACUGCUGGGCUAGAGUCCGGAAGAGGCGAGUGGAAUUCCUGGUGUAGCGGUGAAAUGCGCAGAUAUCAGGAGGAACACCGAUGGCGAAGGCAGCUCGCUGGGACGUAACUGACGCUGAGACGCGAAAGCGUGGGGAGCAAACAGG